rnacentral:misc_RNA from 1 species
GAUGAAGAACGUAGCGAAAUGCGAUAAGUAGUGUGAAUUGCAGAAUUCAGUGAAUCAUCGAAUCUUUGAACGCACAUUGCGCCCCUUGGUAUUCCAUGGGGCAUGCCUGUUCGAGCGUCAUUUGUACCUUCAAGCUUUGCUUGGUAUUGGGUGUUUGUCUCGCCUUUGCGUGUAGACUCGCCUUAAAAUAAUUGGCAGCCGGCGUAUUGAUUUCGGAGCGCAGUACAUCUCGCGCUUUGCACUCAUAACGACAGCGUCCAAAAGUACAUUUUACACUCUUGACCUCGGAUCAGGUAGGGAUACCCGCUGAACUUAAGCAUAUCAAUAAGCGGAGGA